GGAUGGAUCAUUCUUGUUAACAAACACCAACCUUCGAACAUUCUGUUCCUACCUUCAAACUCUUCAAAAUUACUUUGAAUUUAAAAACUCUUAACGAUGGAUGACUCGACUCUUGUAACGAGGAAGGACGCAGCAAACCGCGAUAAGCAGUAUGAUAUGCGAACACUCGUGAAUCACCAGAUUUCUGAACGCAUUUGUACUCCUGGCUUCGGCCUCGAGUAUACUUGGCUCGGUAUCAUUUCGAUUUGCCACAUGGCUUACUUCAAGAACUUCGGUUUGAGAAAGGAAGCAGUGGUGUUUUGAGCUCUCCAUUCACCUGAAUGUGUUAGCUGUCUAUUGAUAUCUUCUGAUACUAUUCUGCUUCUACAGUUGUACACAUCAGUUCUAGCAGUCUGUAUUAUUAAAGAAGUAAUCAAUACUUAAUCUUCAUGAUCUGAGCUCAAGUAAGGUUACCCGCUGAAUUUAAGCAUAUAAUUAAGCGGAGGAAUAGAAACCAACAGGGAUUCCCAUAAUAGCGGCGAGCGAAAUGGGAUCAGCCCGAGAUGUGAAUCGAAGUGAGCUUGACUUGCUUCGAGUUGUGCAUCAUGGUCUCUACCAGUAAGUGUCUCUACCUAAGGUGCCUGGAAAGGCAUGCCACAGAAGGUGAUAGCCCUGUCUUUGGUAGAGAUUACUUGCGUACGGUAUUGAUCGACUGAGUCACGCUCUUUGGGAGUAGAGCGCAAAAAGGGUGGUAACCAUCAUCCAUGGCUAAAUAUUGACAAGAGAUCGAUAGCAAACAAGUACCCUGAGGGAAAGUUGAAAAGCACUUCGAAAGGAGAGUUAAAAGACCUGAAAUCGUUAAGGGGGAAGCGAGUAGCCGUGACCCAAGUGAGUUUCCUACGAGAGGGUAAAGAGGUGUGGCGCUUUGGAUAAAACCUUUGCACUGUGCUAAUUGGCCUUAUCCCGGGAUUCACACUAUUUGACAUCAAUUCUUAACUUAUUGAAUUUCUUUAAGUAUUGGAUUGAGGCUAACCAGUUUACUGUAAGUUGUCAAAAGUGGCACGUCUACACGACCCGUCUUGAAACACGGACCAAGGAGUUAAACAUGUGUGCAAGUGUAAGAGUGUUAAACUCAUACGCGCAGUGAAAGCGACAGCUGUGAAUAUCAAUGCAACAGCGGCCGACCAUGAAGUUCGAGCUUGAGCAUAUUUGUUUAGACCCGAAAGAUGGUGACCUAUACCUGAGUUGAGUGAAGCCAGGGGAAACCCUGGUGGAAGCUCGUAGCGAUACUGACGUGCAAAUCGUUCGUCAAACUUGGGCAUAGGGGCGAAAGACUAAUCGAACCAUCUAGUAGCUGGUUCCCUC
rnacentral:misc_RNA from 1 species